rnacentral:rRNA from 1 species
CUACGGGGGGCACCAGUGAGGAAUAUUGCACAAUGGGGGGAACCCUGAUGCAGCAACGCCGCGUGGAGGAUGACGCAUUUCGGUGUGUAAACUCCUUUUAUAUGUCAAGAAAUGACGGUAGCAUAUGAAUAAGCACCGGCUAACUCCGUGCCAGCAGCCGCGGUAAUACGGAGGGUGCAAGCGUUACUCGGAAUCACUGGGCGUAAAGGACGCGUAGGCGGGUUGGAAGGUCAGGGUGUGAAAUCCUACAGCUUAACUGUAGAACUGCACUUGAAACUUCUAAUCUAGAGUAUGGGAGGGGGAGAUGGAAUUAGUGGUGUAGGGGUAAAAUCCGUAGAUAUCACUAGGAAUACCUAAAGCGAAGGCGAUCUCCUGGAACAUUACUGACGCUAAGGCGUGAAAGCGUGGGGAGCAAACAGGAUUAGAUACCCUAGUAGUC